rnacentral:lncRNA from 1 species
UCAUUGUUCCAUUGCAGAAAGUCUGUAGCAUGUAGUGUACUUUAUUUAGCUGUUCUCCCCCUCCGCAGGCGCUGGCUGUUCCCAGAACUGUGCUGCUGUUCUUCCCCUCCGCAAGCGCUGGCUGUUCCCAGAACUGUGCUGCUGUUCUUCCCCUCCGCAAGCGCUGGCUGUUCCCAGAACUGUGCUGCUGUUCUUCCCCUCCGCAAGCGCUGGCUGUUCCCAGAACUGUGCUGCUGUUCUUCCCCUCCGCAAGCGCUGGCUGUUCCCAGAACUGUGCUGCUGUUCUCCCCCUCCACAGGCGCUGGCUGUUCCCAGAACUGUGCUGCUGUUCUCCCCCUCCGCAAGCGCUGGCUGUUCCCAGAACUGUGCUGCUGUUCUCCCCCUCCGCAGGCACUGGCUGUUCCCAGAACUGUGCUGCUGUUCUCCCCCUCCGCAGGCACUGGCUGUUCCCAGAACUGUGCUGCUGUUCUUCCCCUCCGCAAGCGCUGGCUGUUCCCAGAACUGUGCUGCUGUUCUCCCCCUCCGCAGGCGCUGGCUGUUCCCAGAACUGUGCUGCUGUUCUCCCCCUCCGCAAGCGCUGGCUGUUCCCAGAACUGUGCUGCUGUUCUCCCCCUCCGCAGGCACUGGCUGUUCCCAGAACUGUGCUGCUGUUCUCCCCCUCCGCAAGCGCUGGCUGUUCCCAGAACUGUGCUGCUGUUCUCCCCCUCCGCAAGCGCUGGCUGUUCCCAGAACUGUGCUGCUGUUCUCCCCUUCCGCAAGCGCUGGCUGUUCCCAGAAAUGUGCUGCUGUUCUCCCCCUCCGCAAGCGCUGGCUGUUCCCAGAACGGAGCUGCUGUUCUCCCCCUCCGCAAGCGCUGGCUGUUCCCAGAACUGUGCUGCUGUUCUCCCCCUCCGCAAGCGCUGGCUGUUCCCAGAACUGUGCUGCUGUUCUCCCCCUCCGCAGGCGCUGGCUGUUCCCAGAACUGUGCUGCUGUUCUCCCCCUCCGCAGGCGCUGGCUGUUCCCGGAACUGUGCUGCUGUUCUCCCCCUCCGCAGGCACUCUGUUUGGUUACUGUGCUUUGAAUUUAACAGCCAGUUGAUGUCUCUUCUUUCUCUCUCUCUUUCUCUUUCUCUCUUUCCCUUUCUCUCUCUUCUCUUUCUCUCUCUCUUUCUAUCUCUUCUCGCCUUGCUACUCUCUCCCAAAGUUGAUGGUUUUUUAAAGUUUUCACACAACAGGGAGAAGGAGAAUAUGUUGUGCAAACGUUUUAACUGUCACUAA